AGUGAACGCUGGCGGUAGGCCUAACACAUGCAAGUCGAACGGCAGCACAGUAAGAGCUUGCUCUUACGGGUGGCGAGUGGCGGACGGGUGAGGAAUACAUCGGAAUCUACUUUUUCGUGGGGGAUAACGUAGGGAAACUUACGCUAAUACCGCAUACGACCUACGGGUGAAAGCAGGGGAUCUUCGGACCUUGCGCGAUUGAAUGAGCCGAUGUCGGAUUAGCUAGUUGGCGGGGUAAAGGCCCGCCAAGGCGACGAUCCGUAGCUGGUCUGACAGGAUGGUCAGCCACACUGGAACUGAGACACGGUCCAGACUCCUACGGGAGGCAGCAGUGGGGAAUAUUGGACAAUGGGCGCAAGCCUGAUCCAGCCAUACCGCGUGGGUGAAGAAGGCCUUCGGGUUGUAAAGCCCUUUUGUUGGGAAAGAAAAGCAGCAGGUUAAUACCCCGCUGUUCUGACGGUACCCAAAGAAUAAGCACCGGCUAACUUCGUG
rnacentral:rRNA from 1 species